UACAGAGGAUGCGAACAUUGCUCGGAAUUACUGAACGUAAAGCGCGUGUAGGCGGGACCGCAAGUCAGAUGUGAAAUCCCUGGGCUCAACCCAGGAACUGCAUCUGAAACUGCAGACCUUGAGUACUGGAGAGGGCGGCGGAAUUCCUGGUGUAGAGGUGAAAUUCGUAGAUAUCAGGAGGAACACCGGUGGCGAAGGCGGCCGCCUGGACAGUCACUGACGCUGAGACGCGAAAGCGUGGGGAGCAAACAGG
rnacentral:rRNA from 1 species